rnacentral:misc_RNA from 1 species
UCCGGUUUGUCACCGGCAGUCUCCUUAGAGUGCCCUUGCGUAGCAACUAAGGACAAGGGUUGCGCUCGUUGCGGGACUUAACCCAACAUCUCACGACACGAGCUGACGACAGCCAUGCAGCACCUGUGUUCCAAUUCCCUUUCGGGCACAUCAGCCUUUCAGCCGACUCCUGGACAUGUCAAGGGUAGGUAAGGUUGUUCGCGUUGCAUCGAAUUAAUCCACAUCAUCCACCGCUUGUGCGGGUCCCCGUCAAUUCCUUUGAGUUUUAACCUUGCGGCCGUACUCCCCAGGCGGAUCACUUCACGCGUUAGCUACGGUACCAGGAGAUCGCUCCCCCAACACCUAGUGAUCAUCGUUUAGGGCGUGGACUAC